ACUAUCGUGUCCAAGGUGGUGUAGAUCCUGGAUUUUUUCUACGCCCAUCACAUGAAUUUUUGAUGGGCAGUAAACGUGGAGUCGAUCUGCAUCAAGGUUCUGGAGAUGGUACGGUUGGAGCAGCG
rnacentral:ribozyme from 1 species